rnacentral:misc_RNA from 1 species
UCCGGUUUGUCACCGGCAGUCAGCCUAGAGUGCCCGCCGUUACGCGCUGGCAACUAAGCUCAAGGGUUGCGCUCGUUGCGGGACUUAACCCAACAUCUCACGACACGAGCUGACGACAACCAUGCACCACCUGUACACCGCCCUUGCGGACCCCGUAUCUCUACGAGUUUUCGGUGUAUGUCAAGCCUUGGUAAGGUUCUUCGCGUUGCGUCGAAUUAAUCCACAUGCUCCGCCGCUUGUGCGGGCCCCCGUCAAUUCCUUUGAGUUUUAGCCUUGCGGCCGUACUCCCCAGGCGGGGCGCUUAAUGCGUUAGCUACGGCACGGAUUCCGUGGAAGGAACCCACACCUAGCGCCCACCGUUUACGGCGUGGACUAC